rnacentral:rRNA from 1 species
UUGAAAGGGAAACGAUUGAAGUCAGUCAUGCCGGUGGGAAUCAACUUAGGGGAAACUCUAGGUGCACUUCUUCGCUUGGCAGGUCAACGUCGAUUUUGAAUGUCAUAAAAUAAUUGGGGGAAGGUAGCUCCUUCGGGAGUGUUAUAGCCCUUGAUAGAUGUGAUGUUUGAGGUCGAGGAUUGCAACGGAUACCCUUUGGGGCUAGCUGCCUGAUCUCUAAUUGGUGUUGGGUUACGGAUAGCAUGCUGACCGUGAUCUAAUUACUGGUUAAAAGGUUAGAGCGUGCAUAAAUUCGUUAAGGAUGUUGACGUA